CGGAGUGGCGGACGGGGGAGUAAUGCGUAGGAAUCUACCUAGUUGAGUGGGAUAGCCUAGGGAAACUUAGGGUAAUACCGCAUAAGUCUUACGGGAGAAAGCAGGGGACUGUUAAAGGCCUUGCGCGAUUAGAUGAGCCUACGUCGGAUUAGCUUGUUGGUGGGGUAAAGGCCUACCAAGGCGAUGAUCCGUAGCUGGUCUGAGAGGACGACCAGCCACACUGGGACUGAGACACGGCCCAG
rnacentral:rRNA from 1 species